rnacentral:lncRNA from 1 species
GGGAUUGGACCUGUGAAAUUGUUGUCAGACAAUGCAAGGUUAGAAAGAGAUCUUAACAAUCCAAUUUCUUGGGGAAUGAAACCAGAGAGUUUGUUGCUGUAAAGGUAAAGAAAAGAUAAGUUUGUCAAAUUUCCUAUUGAAGCAGGGAUUGGACCUGUGAAAUUGUUGUCAGACAAUGUAAGGCUAGAAAGAGAUCUUAACAACCCAAUUUCUUGGGGAAUGGAACCAGAGAGUUUGUUGCUGUAAAGGUAAAGAAAAGAUAAGUUUGUCAAAUUUCCUAUUGAAGCUGGGAUUGGACCUGUGAAAUUGUUGUCAGACAAUGCAAGGCUAGAAAGAGAUCUUAACAAUCCAAUUUCUUGGGAAAUGGAACCAGAGAGUUUGUUGCUGUAAAGGUAAAGAAUGGAUAAGUUUGUCAAAUUUCCUAUUGAAGCAGGGAUUGGACCUGUUAAAUUGUUGUCAGACAAUCCAAGAUCAGAAAGAGAUCUUAACAACCCAAUUUCUUGAGGAAUGAAAUUAGAGAGUUUGUUGUUAUUAAGGUAAAGAACGGAUAAGUGUAUCAUAUUUCCUAUUGAAGCCGGGAUUGGACCUGUGAAAUUAUUGUAAGACAAUUGAAGAUCAGAAAGUGAUCUUAACAAUCCAAUUUCUUGAGGAAUGGAACUAGAGAGUUUGUUGUUGUAAAGGUAAAGAAAGGAUAAGUUUGUCAAAUUUCCUAUUGAAGCAGGGAUUGGACCUGUGAAAUUGUUGUUAGACAAUGCAAGGCUAGAAAGAGAUCUUAAUAACCCAAUUUCUUGGGGAAUGGAACCAGAGAGUUUGUUGUUGUAAAGGUAAAGAACAGAUAAGUUUAUUAAAUUUCCUAUCGAAGGAAUACUUCCAUAGAGUGAGUUAAUGCUAAGAUCAACAUGAGUAAGGUUGGGAAAAAGGGAGAAGUUCAAACCUUCUAGCUUCCCUUUCAAAUCUGAAGAGGAAAGGUUU